GAUUGUUGAGAUCUGGCGACUUGUUUAAAUUUCAUCAGCCUCACUUCUAUGAACUCUCAGAGCUGAUUACCAACUCCUACCACUGUUAACCCUCAUCCAGGAACAAGCUUAUGUCUUUAACAUUCUGAGUGGGCUUCAGCAUCCUUGCAUAUGUUCAAUUCUUAAAAACCUGUUGAAAUAAAAGAUCAGGAGACAUAGGAAGGAUGCCAGAAGAGAGCGUGGCCUCACGUGUACCAGCUCUCUGCUCUCCUUUGCCUUGGGACGUUCCAUCCCUGGAAGUUUCCCUGCCCACAUCUUUGUAGAGAGUCCAUUCUCCAAGCUUCAGUGUGUCAUCUGUGAGGACCGUGACCCACCUGGUACAUCGCCUCAGGGCAUUCAUUUCAGGCUCCUUCUAAAUGGCCAAGAGACAACACCAACAUUUUUGUAAUGGCCUGCAAGGCCUUCCGAGAUCUACCUCCUGCAACUCAGCUUCUCCUGUGCUCUCCUUCUGGACUCACUCUGCCUCAGCAACACUGGUCCCUGUUGCCCCACCAAUAUGCCAGGUAAACCUCAGGUUCUCCUCCUGCCUUUUGCUAAGUAUAUGUCUUGAUGACAAGCCUUCUGCUGAUGAGCUGUGUUUCUGGACCGAUCAUGGUAGAAGUCAAUUAACGUGUCCCUCACUUGGGGUUUCUCAAGGACAUGCAAGGUCCUCAUGAUUGUCUCAAAACUAUAUAGAAUUGAGAAGCUGCACUGAUGAGGAAACUGAAACAGAAAAUCCAGAGUAAAUUCCACCAGGCCACACAGCAAGGUCUGAUAGAGCCAGGAGAGACUUUAUGAAAUCCAGACUCUCACACUAAUGCUCUAUCAGCUAGACCUCCAUGUGAGUCUCCCCAAUGUAGGUAGGAAGUGCUUUCCC
rnacentral:lncRNA from 10 species